UUACGGCCAUACCACAUCGAAACACCAGUUUCCGCACAGUCACAGAAGUUAAGCAACACCGAGCCUGGUCAUUACCUAGAUAGGUGACCACUUGGGAAUAUCAUGUGCUGUAAG